UUUUUUUUCUGUACCAGAUAAUCAGACAUUGUGGCAUGAGGCGGUACGAGCUGCAGCUGGAGGACGGGGUUGUUUGAUGAGAAUCCUGCUGAUCUUCUGGCCCAACACCAUCUCCAAUCAACAGCUGCUCAAACAGCCCAAUCAGGAGAGCACAGAGACAGUUAUCACAAGAAGAUGGUACAAAAAGAGAAAGAUGACAUCACCUUGACUGCUUUACAGUGGACACCUGAAGGAAGAUGCAGGAGAGGCAGGCCCAAGAACACAUGGCACUGUACAGCUGGAAAAACAACUCAAGAUUUGGAAACACAACUGGAGUAUUAUUCAGAUUGGCCCUGGACAGACAGGAGUGUAGGGGUCCUUCGUAAGUGACCAGUGAACAGACACACUGUAUGUGGAGCAACACAAUUAUAAAGUCACUACCCUCAAAGAGGAAUCUGUUGAACCGUGAGAGUAAAGGGUGAGUCCUAUCUUCUCUCUUAUAACUAGACAGCACUUAAGAGUGCGCAACCUCUGCCAAGGGGCAAGUCUGUUUCCCCAUAAUGCCAUAGAAGCAAUAUUCCCAUGACAGUUUGACCCUCAUAAUAGGAGUUCUUGACCAUGAAAACCUACUGCUGGCAUUUGGAGUGACACUGACAUCUUUUGAGUUUGAAAGUUAUUCAAGAAAAAUGACACUUGUUGGUUUAGGGGUAAAACAGGGACUUGAGUCCUGUGUUCUCCCUCUGCCCAGCAGGGUGCACGUAUAUCCUAAACAUGGACAAAUACAGUGGAAAAGCAAAGUGGGAUGGUCCGUGUCAACCUCUGGGGUUAUCCUGUGCGAUAGUAAAGGGAAACGCGGGGUCUACUAGUCGUUAGGUUCUGACAGUGAAAACGUGGCUAGAAUGUGACUAGAAUGUCAGUAUCCUCGCUGACAGACUACUGUGCUCUGAACGAAAUGUAGCUGCCUGCUAAGAGAGCUAGCUUGGUCAAAUAAGGUGCGCGUGCACACAUCUCUGAAAAACGUCAGAACAAAUUCUAAAUUGGUACUACUUGGUUAGACUGACCACAUAUUCUCAUUCUAAGUGG